AUGGCCGGAAAUGACACAUUCAAAAGUACAAAGAUCACAAAUACGAAUUUCCUUGUUGGGUAUCAUAUUGGGAUCUUGCCAUUAGCCCAUUACCCAAAAUGGGGGCAGGCCAAAAAUUGCAAUUACAGUAGCAGUAUUACAUGCAUACAUAUAUACAUAAACAGAGCAAACACUUUGUUCUUCUAUUGCAUGCUAAAAAACCACUCACCUACUGCUAAACUACUUCUUACCCUGGGAGCUUCACUUGAGCUCCCCUUGUUAAUCUUCUUCUUCUUAGCAAUUAUACCCGGCCGCAGUUGUGAACUGAAUGACUGA
rnacentral:rRNA from 1 species